rnacentral:sRNA from 1 species
AAACUAAAGAUUACAGGUAAAUAAGUAA